UUGGAAGAAGAUUCACAAUUUUAAGUGAGUUUGAUAUAAUCUACCAUGAAGACAUCGAUCUAACAUUGGGGCCAACAUCAAAGCUCAUUUAAGUAUCAGAGAUGGUUAACAAGUAGUACAUAAGUGGAAGUUUAAUGCCUGAACCCCAUCGAGAAAUUAAGUACUUGCCAUGUGUGAGGAGACGGACAUGUACAAGCGGUAGGUAGUGUACACGUCAAGCUGAGUAGCUGCCAUGUGUCGGGCAGGGAGAGGUGUGGAUUGCAACAUGUGUCAUCUUCUAGAGGGACCACGCGACUUGUAUUAGAAGAUCAUCUUGAAUCUUAUCUGUCGUAACCUGUUCGUGCACGCCACGUGACGCUUGCAAGGGAGAAAACAUGUUUUGGGUGUAAUGGUGAAACGUAUUGAUGUCAGGGAAUUCGAAGAAAAUUAUGUUCACCACGUAUCGAACUCAAGACGCAUGAUUCCUUUCGACAAAUGGGUGGACGACACAUGGCAAGGCAUGAUCAUGCCUACCCUUCCCCUGGCACGUUUGCACACGCACGUGAGCUGCACGUAUGGGCUGUCUGACUACACAUGGGGAGUGUGAAGUUGGUCAUUUUCUCUCCUUUCGACGUUUGUUCAAGUGUUUUUCGUUCCAAUUUUAAUACUAACCCUCAUACGAAUUGAAUCAAAA